rnacentral:rRNA from 3 species
AACUUUCAACAACGGAUCUCUUGGCUCUGGCAUCGAUGAAGAACGCAGCGAAAUGCGAUAAGUAAUGUGAAUUGCAGAAUUCAGUGAAUCAUCGAAUCUUUGAACGCACAUUGCGCCCGCCAGCAUUCUGGCGGGCAUGCCUGUCCGAGCGUCAUU